GAUGAACGCUGGCGGCGUGCCUAAUACAUGCAAGUCGAGCGAACAGACGAGGAGCUUGCUCCUCUGACGUUAGCGGCGGACGGGUGAGUAACACGUGGAUAACCUACCUAUAAGACUGGGAUAACUUCGGGAAACCGGAGCUAACACCGGAUAAUAUAUUGAACCGCAUGGUUCAAUAGUGAAAGACGGUUUUGCUGUCACUUAUAGAUGGAUCCGCGCCGCAUUAGCUAGUUGGUAAGGUAACGGCUUACCAAGGCAACGAUGCGUAGCCGACCUGAGAGGGUGAUCGGCCACACUGGAACUGAGACACGGUCCAGACUCCUACGGGAGGCAGCAGUAGGGAAUCUUCCGCAAUGGGCGAAAGCCUGACGGAGCAACGCCGCGUGAGUGAUGAAGGUCUUCGGAUCGUAAAACUCUGUUAUUAGGGAAGAACAAAUGUGUAAGUAACUAUGCACGUCUUGACGGUACCUAAUCAGAAAGCCACGGCUAACUACGUGCCAGCAGCCGCGGUAA
rnacentral:rRNA from 1 species